UGCUGAGCAAAUCGGGUGCGUUGCGAAAAAAAUAAUGUGAUGUGGUGAUGUUACUGAAUUUUAUUAGUUCACUCAUAGUUACAAACAUUUUAAACUGUUGAAUGUACAAAAAUCAGGAUAAUGGAUUCCUAUUCGAAAUAUAAUGCCGACGCUAACUUGUUCAUUAAGAAUCUGAAUAGCUGCAUUGAGGAUGCUCAACUAUACUCAGAAUUUUCAAAAUUUGGAACAAUUAUAUCGGCCAGAAUUAUGCGGAAUGAAGAUCGCAGCUCGAAAGGUUUUGGAUUUGUUCUGUUCACGACGGCUUUUGCUGCGAGAACAGCAAUUUCCGAAAUGAAUGGACGAAUUUUGGCUGGAAAACCUAUAUACGUUGCUAUCGCCCAGCGCAAGGAUGAACGAAAAUUGUUGCUACAGAAACAAUUUAAUAAGGCAAAAGAGGCUGAUAUGGAAUUGGAAGAGAUGGUUCCUACAGGUAAUUCAGAAUUUCUCAAGCGUCGAAUUUUAAAUGCCACAGCGCUUACUGAAGAACCGUCGGCUAGACAAAUUAAACAUUCCAUGGUAAAAAAACUAAGGAUUGGUGUGAUUUAUCCAAAGAUUGCAGAUAAAAUUGAAAAUGUUUUGAUUGAAUUAGGGGGAGCAGAGCUCUCUCGUAUGAUUUCAAAUCCUGAUCUUGCCAAGAAAAAAAUUGACGGUAUUGCGCUUGGGAUAUAUACUCACUGCAAGCGCUGAGGAUUGUGGACAAUCUUGAGAAAAAACUACAUCUAAAUCUGAAGACUGUAAAUUUGAAUCGAACAUCAUUUGAAACCCAUGUUACUUUGUUAUAGAAAGUAUGUUUAAAUAAAAACCUGAUUAAAUCGGAAA